rnacentral:tRNA from 1 species
GCCGGAAUAGCUCAGCAGGUAGAGCAACGCAUUCGUAAUGCGUAGGUCGGGGGUUCGACUCCCUCUUCCGGCA